rnacentral:lncRNA from 1 species
UAUCUCUUUAGGAUGAUUUAAAUCAUAUAUUUGAAUAGGUGAGAAGGCCAUAGAGAAAGCAAAUGAUUUAAAUAGCUUUUGAAUAUUUGAGAUUUACAAAUGAAGAUGGAGCAUGGAGAAUGACUAUAUAUCCUUUUUUCUAGGAGGAACCUAAGUCUUAUAGAAUUCCAGCGAGAUACAGAAAGGAACUAAAAUCUUUUGAGCACCUGCAAUACUUUGGGAAAUAUGCCAGUGGAGAAGAAAGGAGAGAUGUGCAUAAGCUCUGAAGAAACUUCCUGGAAGAAUUAUUCAGAGACACAUGCAGAUGAUUUGUAGGUGCUGGGUUUCAGAGACAAGCAAGACACUGUUUCUGUUCUGGAAGAACUCAAACUGAUGGAGGAGACAGAAAAUCCAUCAAUUAUGGAAGACUGGAGACGGAAAAAUGGCAAGGGAAAGGCAUGACAUCUUGCCUUUGGGAAGUAGAGAGGCAGAAGUUUCUUAGAAUAAAACCUUGGUUAACUGGAAUGCAAAUUCCUAGCGCCGGAUCCAGUGCAUCAGUUCUGAUUCGUGUAAGCAGUAAUAACCAGAAGCAGCGGGAUAUAGCAUGGAACUUUAUUGCAGGUAAGAACUAUUAAAACUAUCUUUUAUUUCAGAAAAGCACAGACACCAGAAAGAGUCAAAACCAAAGGGAAUUUCAGUGAAGCCAAAUUGUUCUCUGGCUUAGAAAGAGAAGGCAUAAUGUUUAUUUCCUAAAAAAGCAACAGACUAUAAUGACACAGUAAAAAGAGUAUUUUUUUCACAUAUUUUUCAGUGAACAAGAGGUACAUAUGAUUCUCAUAGUUUUAUAUACUCUGUUUCCUUUUCUUCUGUGAUGCGUAUUUCCUCAGUUUGAUACAUAACCACUGGCUCUCUCCUGCCCCCCCCCUUUUUUUUUUUUUAAAUCCUUCUGAGUUUGUUUUCCUUUAACUGGCCGGUAUAUGGUAGAGUUUCUUAAGCUGGGCCUGUACCUUAUUCUCACCCUGUGGGGAACCUCACAUACAACUACAGUUUUAAUCAUCACCACAUGUCAAAAAUACCCAAAUAUCACUCCCCACGUCCUGACCUUUCCUUAGUCUCAGAUGUGUGUAUCCAACUGGCUUUCUCACAUCUCCACUUAGAUGUCUCAAAGUCACCUCAAAUUCAGCACGUCCAAAGACAAAUGCCUGGUUGUCAUCUGUAAGCCUGAUUUGUUUUUUUUUUCUUCAAGUGCCCUCCUCAGUCAAGU